rnacentral:misc_RNA from 1 species
GUAAAGGUGCAUGAGUGGUGUUUGGUUUGUUGCGGAUGGUUGGAUGUCUGCUUGCGCAGCAACUUCCAUGCGGGCUUACCUCUUCAAUUGUGCUACAAGCCUUGUUUGGCUUGCAUCGUUCGGUGGGUUUCUUGUGUUGCUUACCUAAUCGAUGGCAUUGUUUGUCCCUAUAAGAUAGAUUUUGUAACACGUUGCUUGCGGCGUGAUACAAACGAUGAAGCAACCUUUGUUGUUCAACCUGUUGCUGCUCAUGCAUCGAUGGCUUGGCCCAUGAAGUGUUGAUUGGUCCCUUGGAUAUGGAACAUGAUGUGGGCACAAGUUCGUCAAAGAUCUUGAAUUUGCCCUUAUCGAGUGAUUUAGCUUCUUUAAAUGACCGUCGUCCAUGUAUCGACAAGUCGGUGUAUGGAGGAUUGUGUCAAA